ACAAACUUGGUCAUUUAGAGGAAGUAAAAGUCGUAACAAGGUUUCCGUAGGUGAACCUGCGGAAGGAUCAUUAUUGAUCUUCGUCUUCCCAGCUUGCUAGGUUGACGGGACCAUAUCACCCUUGCCUAUGUGUACCCUUUGUUUGUUUCCUCGGCGCGACAUUUGCGCGCCGAUAGGAAUCCCUUUUGAACCCUUUUGCAUCAGCAUAAGCACUUCUGAUCAAAACCUAAAUCAUUACAACUUUCAACAAUGGAUCUCUUGGUUCUGGCAUCGAUGAAGAACGCAGC
rnacentral:misc_RNA from 1 species